rnacentral:rRNA from 1 species
UACGGAGGGGGCUAGCGUUGUUCGGAAUUACUGGGCGUAAAGCGCACGUAGGCGGUCUGUUAAGUCGGGUGUGAAAUCCUGGGGCUCAACCUCAGAAUUGCCUCCGAUACUGGCAGUCUCGAGUGCGGGAGAGGUGAGUGGAAUUCCCAGUGUAGAGGUGAAAUUCGUAGAUAUUGGGAAGAACACCAGUGGCGAAGGCGGCUCACUGGCCCGUAACUGACGCUGAGGUGCGAAAGCGUGGGGAGCAAACAGG